ACUCCUGGAAGGAGCCUGCUGUAGACUCUGAACCUCCCCCCUCUCGAAAUUAGCUUUAAAAAUGAACAUUGCUUUUCCUGACACAAAGCCCAAUAUGAUACGAGGAUACCGAAGGAGCCGCACAAUAUACCCCUUCAAAAUACGCCACUGUGAUUCAGUUGUGCUGUUCCCAGUGGAGUCCAAGAAAGGAAAGACAGAACCGAGGUUGCUUUGCCUAAUUUAAAGGCAGGCUCAAGAGUGGGAAGGACAGUGCAAGUUGUUUUGGACUUUUCUCUACCCAGGGUCCGGGACAUGAUACCCCAAAAUGCGACACAUUAGCAUAGUGAGUAUUUCAAGGAAUUCGAGAAAUGGCAUGUGCAGGAAGAACCCUCUGACCUUUCCCUGAAGCAGGUCGUUAACCCUAAUGUGAGAAGUGCCCUCCCUGUACACAGAGGUAAGGGGGCAUCCUUAUCUCAGAAGAGAAAGGAACAAAAAGGAACCUGAACAAACAGGCCUUGCUAAGUUUGCCCCCAUUUAUUACACAUAGCUCAUACUCUUUGUUCUAUCAUAUCUUUCCAUGACUUUACAGUUCUCAUCAAACCUAGCAUAAAACACAGGUUUAACCAUUUCUUUGGGUUUUCAUUUCUUUAUGAGGGCUCCUGUGUCACUUAAAA